CUCCUGUCAUCACUCGCCUCCAUUCCUGCCUCACGGUGGACUUUGUGACUUCUUACAGUAUGGCUUCAAGGAGAAGACACAGUUGAUUUGAGUAAAUGAACCUCUGAGUGGCUGAGGGAAAGAGGAAGCCACCAUGGGAAUCCUAUCAACAUCAGACUGUCUAUAUUCCCACGAAGAGAAAUCAGAUCCAUGAAGGAGGCCAUGUGGUUCACAGUGUUAUUCAGAUCUGGCUGAAACCUUUAGCCUGGAUGUCAAGGUUCUGAAGGGAAGGUCUUGCAGCCAGCAGUGACUGGUUUCCAGCUCAGCUCCUGUCCCUGACACCGAGCUUAGAAGAAGCCAGACAAGGACCAAAACCCAGCCUUGGUGACCUUGCUCCCGGGACAGAAAAGACACCCUGACUACAUGAAGCCAACUCUAUGUAGCCCAGCCCUCAAGGAGACAGAGUGACCUGGCUCAGCUACCUGCAGGACUCAGAUUCCCAGCGCCCUGGGCAACACUUGGAGAGCUGGUUAAUUUCUUGGAGAAAAAUGGUGAGCCAGGCUGCAGGCUAGCCCACUAAGGUGAGCCAGGCUGCAGGCUGCUGGGCGACUGCUCUCCCAGGUUCUCCCCUUGUAGGAUCCAGGCAGAGAGGGAGGCAACACAGGGCUUCAAACAGCUAAUCUCUUUUUAGGGAAGAUGCCAUCGUCUCAAUUAAAACGCAGACCAGAAUAUUUAAUGGCACGGAAAUUGAUUUAGAUGCUAUUUAAAUAAUUUCCCCCUGGAGAAGAUGGGAAUUACUUGGCCUAAUUUUCUGGAAGCAUCCAUUUCCUUUACCACUCAGAACUUCCACUCACUGCUCCGUUCACCAGGGUGAACUGCAGUGCGCAUCAGCCUCCAGGGACUCCGGUCCCGCAGGAGGACAGAGCUUAAGGGGUCAACCGGUGAGGACAGGGUGCCUCAAGGAAGGCUCUGGGCGCCUCACCCUCACCAGCUCCCCGCCCCCUCCCCCAUGUAGUUCCGGAAGGCCCAGUCACAGGGAGGAGCUUGGGGGUGGGGCUGGUGAGGCAUGGUGGUCCAUGAUGUCAUCGAGAGUGGGCGGGGCAAGUGGAGGCAGUCUCUGCAGAGGGUAUAUAUAGCAUCUCAGGCCACCACACAGUAGCCCACAGGAUAUUGGGGGUGUUUCUGAGCUGUAAGAGGAUGCAAGGAGAGUUGGAAAUGGAUCUGUGACUUGCUCUUUGGGUCACAGCAAUCUGUGAAGAGUCUAGACUUGGCCUCCCAUUACUUUCGAUUUUCUUUUCACAGUGGAAAGUACAAGGGUUCAAAGUACAAGAGGGCCAGAUUAUAGCUCAUGGACCGAAUCUGGCCCUCUGACUGUUUGUACAAAUAAAACUUUAUUGGGA